rnacentral:rRNA from 1 species
GAUGAACGCUAGCUACAGGCUUAACACAUGCAAGUCGAGGGGAAACGACAUCAAAAGCUUGCUUUUGAUGGGCGUCGACCGGCGCACGGGUGAGUAACGCGUAUCCAACCUGCCCACCACUUGGGGAUAACCUUGCGAAAGUAAGACUAAUACCCAAUGAUAUCCCACGAAGGCAUCCGAAUGGGAUUAAAGAUUUAUCGGUGAUGGAUGGGGAUGCGUCUGAUUAGCUUGUUGGCGGGGUAACGGCCCACCAAGGCAACGAUCAGUAGGGGUUCUGAGAGGAAGGUCCCCCACAUUGGAACUGAGACACGGUCCAGACUCCUACGGGAGGCAGCAGUGGGGGAAUCUUCCGGCAAUGGGCGAAAGCCUGACGGAGCAACGCCGCGUGAGUGAUGACGGCCUUCGGGUUGUAAAGGCUCUGUGAUCGGGGACGGAACGGUACAGC